GAUGAACGCUGGCGGCGUGCCUAAUACAUGCAAGUCGAGCGAACAGACGAGGAGCUUGCUCCUCUGACGUUAGCGGCGGACGGGUGAGUAACACGUGGAUAACCUACCUAUAAGACUGGGAUAACUUCGGGAAACCGGAGCUAAUACCGGAUAAUAUAUUGAACCGCAUGGUUCAAUAAUGAAAGACGGUUUUGCUGUCACUUAUCGAUGGAUCCGCGCCGCAUUAGCUAGUUGGUAAGGUAACGGCUUACCAAGGCAACGAUGCGUAGCCGACCUGAGAGGGUGAUCGGCCACACUGGAACGGAGACACGGUCCAGACUCCUACGGGAGGCAGCAGUAGGGAAUCUUCCGCAAUGGGCGAAAGCCUGACGGAGCAACGCCGCGUGAGUGAUGAAGGUCUUCGGAUCGUAAAACUCUGUUAUUAGGGAAGAACAAAUGUGUAAGUAACUAUGCACGUCUUGACGGUACCUAAUCAGAAAGCCACGGCUAACUACGUG
rnacentral:rRNA from 1 species